AUAGGCUGGACCUCUACAGGCAAAGAAAAGUGUCAUGAAAUAAUUAUCUGGGUAAAUCAGGAAGAAAUCAUUUUAGUUUGAAUUUAUACUGUCAUACAUUUUCUGUGUUCAUGGCAUUAUGGCACAGCCCAAAUUUCCCUGUAUAUAAGGAUUUUUUAAUCUUUUUUUUUUAAGAUUUCAUUUAUUUAUUUGAGAGUGAGAAAGCACAAGCAGUGGGAGCUACAGAGGGAGAGGGAGAAGCAGGCUUCCCGCAAGCAGGGAGCCUGAUGCAGGACUCCAUCCCAGGAUCCCAGGAUCAUGACCUGAGCUGAAGGCAGAUGCUCAAACGACUGAGCCACCCAGGUGCCCCGGAAUUUUUAAUCUUGCUUUUUAUUUUAUCAAACAUUCAAACAUUUAGAAAUUUGAAUUACCUCUGGCCUUAUUUCUGACUUAUUUAUGACUGUUUACAUAUAUAAAGCAUCUGGCAAAUAGUAGAUACUAAUAAAUGGUAAAUUUACCAGGCAAUUUUCUAAUAAAUAAUUAUUAUUAUUUGAUUUCCAGCAGGCGACUUUAUCCAACUAGAAAAACAUGUUUUGGAAUUCACAUUCAAAUGGAGUAAGAAUGGAAAGAGUUUAUUCCUUCUAGCAAACUUCUUCAUGCUUUAUUCAUUCAUUUAUCUUGUAUCAAGGAUAUUUAGCAGCAUCCCUGGCAGCAACCCACUAGAUGCCAGCAGCAUCCAAUCCCUGACCACUUUGUUUCCUUUUAGGCCUUACAAAGUUACAAUCAUGCCGUAAGAGAUUCAUUGGAAGAAAAAGCCCAUGGAAUUGUGAAUUUGUGCUCAAUACAUGAAAACUCCCAGUGAGUCACACUCAUGUUCAGUCUAAUGCCCAUUUUUACAACUGGUAGGAAGAAGUACAUGUUGGAAGGUCACUGCUGUAUCUCUGAGUGCAAAGUGGUAUUAAGUUUCUCAAAAAAAGUGAAAUGACCAAUUCCAUUAUUAAUAGAUUCACUGCAUAUGCUUACUUUAACUUUUUUUUUGCUAUAUUAUAUGGACAUUUAAUCUUAUUAUUUAUGCAUUCCUUGAAGAGCUCACAGAGGAGAUUGUCUUCAGAGCCAAAAGAUUAAAUUAAAAUGCGUAUUUGACUCUGGUGUGAUUGUAGUAGCAAAUAUUUAUGGCUUUGAUAGGGAAUAAACAGGUAGUAUUCACCUAUUGUGAUGGGUAUGUAAACUGAUACAACCUUUUUAGGGGUUACCUUGGUAGUACAUAUUAUAAUAACAAAUAUAAUGUCUUUCACACCGUUGUUCCACUGUUAGGAUGUUAACCUAGAGAUAAAUUCACAUUUGUGCCCAAAGAUUAAUGUACAGGGAUAUUCACUGCAGCAUUCUUUGUUUUUUUUUUUUAAAGAUUUUAUUUAUUUAUUUAUUUGAGAGAGCGAGAAUGAGAGAGAGAGAGAGUACAUGAGAGGGGGAAGGGUCAGAGGGAGAAGCAGGGAGCCUGAUGUGGUACUCGAUCCCGGGACUCCAGGAUCAUUACCUGAGCUGAAGGCAGACACUUAACCGACUGAGCCUCCCAAGCGCCCCUCUUUUUUUUUUUUCUUUUAAGAUUUUAUUUAUUUAUUUAUUUGACAGAGAGAGACACAGCGAGAGAGGGAACACAAGCAGGGGGAGUGGGAGAGGGAGAAGCAGGCUUCCCACCGAGCAGGGAGCCGAUGUGGGGCUCGAUCUCAGGACCCUGGAAUCACGACCCGAGCCGAAGGCAGACGCCCAAUGACUGAGCCACCCAGGGGCCCCAGUGCAGCAUUAUUUCUAAGAAGGAAAACCAGAAAUAGCCUAUUGUGGAAGAAGAUGUGGAAGGCUAUGGGACUGUUAACAAGGAUGAGGUGGAUUUAUAUAUACUAAUCUUUUAAGUAAAAAGCAAAUCACUGAACAAUAUGUAUGGUAUGAUGUCAUAUAUAUUGAAUAAAAACAAAGCAAAAAUAUUUGUAAAUGCAUAGAAAAUACCUCAAAGCAUACAUACCAUACCCCUAAUGAUGUUUAUUUCUGGGCAGGAAAAAUAACGGGGGGAUACACAGAGGGGAAUUUUACUUUUUACUGUAGGUAAUCUUUCUCUAUUGUUUGAAUUGUUAGCCAUGAUCAUGUAUUAAUUUCUAAAUUAAAAAUAAUUUUAAAAAAUAGUGGUGCCUGGCUGACUCUUUCAGUGGAGCAUGUGAGUCUUGAUCUUGGGGUUGUGAGUUUGAGCCCCACGUUGGGUGUAGACAUUACUUAAAAAUAGAAUCUUAAAAAAAUAUUUUUUUAAAUAGAAAUAAGUAGUAAGUGCUAAAAAGGAAUUUGAGUUUGUUUCUCUUAUUUCCGAUGAAUGUUAUUGUUUUGUAAGACAAUGU